rnacentral:rRNA from 1 species
ACGCUGGCGGCGUGCCUAAUACAUGCAAGUAGAACGCUGAAGAGAGGAGCUUGCUCUUCUUGGAUGAGUUGCGAACGGGUGAGUAACGCGUAGAUAACCUGCCUUGUAGCGGGGGAUAACUAUUGGAAACGAUAGCUAAUACCGCAUAACAAUGGGUGACACAUGUCAUUUAUUUGAAAGGGGCAAUUGCUCCACUACAAGAUGGACCUGCGUUGUAUUAGCUAGUAGGUGAGGUAACGGCUCACCUAGGCGACGAUACAUAGCCGACCUGAGAGGGUGAUCGGCCACACUGGGACUGAGACACGGCCCAGACUCCUACGGGAGGCAGCAGUAGGGAAUCUUCGGCAAUGGGGGCAACCCUGACCGAGCAACGCCGCGUGAGUGAAGAAGGUUUUCGGAUCGUAAAGCUCUGUUGUAAGUCAAGAACGAGUGUGAGAGUGGAAAGUUCACACUGUGACGGUAGCUUACCAGAAAGGGACGGCUAACUACGUGCCAGCAGCCGCGGUAAUACGUAGGUCCCGAGCGUUGUCCGGAUUUAUUGGGCGUAAAGCGAGCGCAGGCGGUUUGAUAAGUCUGAAGUUAAAGGCUGUGGCUCAACCAUAGUUCGCUUUGGAAACUGUCAAACUUGAGUGCAGAAGGGGAGAGUGGAAUUCCAUGUGUAGCGGUGAAAUGCGUAGAUAUAUGGAGGAACACCGGUGGCGAAAGCGGCUCUCUGGUCUGUAACUGACGCUGAGGCUCGAAAGCGUGGGGAGCGAACAGGAUUAGAUACCCUGGUAGUCCACGCCGUAAACGAUGAGUGCUAGGUGUUGGAUCCUUUCCGGGAUUCAGUGCCGCAGCUAACGCAUUAAGCACUCCGCCUGGGGAGUACGACCGCAAGGUUGAAACUCAAAGGAAUUGACGGGGGCCCGCAC